CAGAGGGGGCAAGCGUUAUUCGGAAUUAUUGGGCGUAAAGGGCGCGUAGGCGGCUUGACAAGUGGCGGGUGAAAUCCCUCGGCUUAACCGAGGAACUGCCUGCCAGACUGUCUUGCUUGAGACCGGGAGAGGUGAGUGGAAUUCCCAGUGUAGCGGUGAAAUGCGUAGAUAUUGGGAGGAACACCAGUGGCGAAGGCGGCUCACUGGACCGGAACUGACGCUGAGGCGCGAAAGCGUGGGGAGCAAACAGGAUUAGAUACCCUGGUAGUCCACGCCGUAAACGAUGAGUGCUUGGUAUAGCGGGUAUCGACCCCUGCUGUGCCGAAGUCAACACAUUAAGCACUCCGCCUGGGGAGUACGGUCGCAAGACUG
rnacentral:rRNA from 1 species